rnacentral:lncRNA from 1 species
UUCGUAUGGAAGUAUAGACAGCUCUGAAAUGGCACCAUUUAAGUAGAGAUGAGCCCCCAGGUUUUGCUUUGAAUGAAAACAUGCAUGGUGACACCUUAAAACAAAAACUAAAUCAUAUUCAUCUAUUGGCAUUGAAAAAUUUGCAACUUUAUUUAGCAAAAAAGAAUAAAAAAUUUGCAACUUUCACCGCCAAUGGAUUUUUUUACUCAUUCUAUCUCAUUAACAUCUAUACUCAUCUAAAAGUACUUCAAACUAAAAACUAAUAUAACAUCUAUACUCAUCAAAAUCCUUCAAACUAAAAGCUAAUAAGAGCUCACACAUACUUACAUACUUGCAUAUAGAUAUAUACAUAUUCAAAUAGAAACUAAAGAGAAAACCCAUAUCACCCGUGCUUUAUGUGUCAUCACCGACCAGGGAUCCAGACCCCUUCCACUAAAUCCAUUCUGGGUCCACUGAAGCUCUUAGACUCCCAACAUGUCUCAGACAUGCUCCAUCCACGUCCAAGAGACCAAACUAGACCUCACCCCGGUAUCGCUAGACCCAUCCCGCCCUUACUAGAUCCCAUCAAGACCCACCUCAGUUACUAAUAUGAAAGUCAUUCAAACUCAAAACAAAUAAGAGCUCACACAUACUUUGCAUGUAGAAAUCUCAUCUCUGACUGUGAAACCUGACUCAACUUCAUAAUCACAUUAGUACAUUACACCUAUAAUAUUUAAAUGAAUCAUCAGAGUAAUCCGAAAUGACAAUUUAUAAAUAGAGAAAUAGUUGUCGUGCAAGGAAGAAAAUAUAUAAAAGAUUCAUUUAUCACAUCAAAGUAGAGCCAUUUACACCUCUUUGACAAGUGUAACGCAAAUUUUCUCCUUACUAUAAACCUUUAAAUUGCACUUCACAAAUCUAACUAGUUAUUGAAGCUCAUCAACCUAACAUACUUGUAUGUAUACCACUAGCUGAAACAAAAUAUUCUCAUCAAGUAUAAUGUAGCUUGUUUAAUAACAUUUCAUGAUUUCAAUUAAAAAAAACAACCGAUAUUCCAAAAUUAUGUUCAGAAUAUGACGAUAUGAGGUACUAUUAGGAAUAUACUUUGGAGUAUCGAUUUUAUAUUUGGUCAGACUAAAUUUUUAUGUUCAAAUAAAAUUUUCUUGUAUCAGCACAUUAAGAAAUGAGAUGAGCCGAGUGCGUCAUACAUAUUCACUAUUAAUUUUGUUCGUACUAAUAUUCCGGUUAGUAAGUAGUGAUUUAGUAUAAGUUUUUACAGUUUUACUACACACAUUUCUAAUUAUCUUAAAAUUAUAUCUAUAUAUUCUGAAAAACAGGUCCAUAGGUAGGCGUAUUUUUGAUAAAUACCUAUGUAUAUGUACCAUUAUAUAUACUCAAAUAUGCAUGUGUAUAUGUUUGUUAACAAAAAACAGUACAUAAUUACUUAAAUUCCUCAAAAGCCUGAAACCAUAUCGUAUUAUAUAUUAGUCAAAUAACUUGUGCAUUUAUUUUCCAAAGAUGUAAAGUGUAAACAACCUUUAAUUGUAUCAGAGUAUAAAAAGAGAGAGUUUAAAUUACAUCAGCACUUCAACUAGGUGUCUGUUAGAUUCCAUAUCUUUGAAGACAGGUGUAGGUGCUGUUGCUGUAGCUACCACCACUAACAGGUAAUAUAAGGACCAAGUUAGAUCAAUAGCAAGUAGGCUAAGAAAUAUGUAAUAUCCUGCAUAAAUGAUAAACUCAAAAACUAAGGUUUUGCUGAAAGAUUGCUAAAGCUGCCUGGCUACUUAAAGAAAGACAAUUACUGAUAAAACACUAAAAUAUAUACCAAAAAAAUUAAACAAACGUAGAUAGAAUAGAUUUUAUCAACUAAGUGAUACAUUUACCAAAUAGCUUAAUAUUUUGUUCAAAUAUGCUUGUCUUGUUUCACAAUAAUCUACUAAUGAGAAAAACACAUAAUCGAAUCAAUAUAUGGUACUUUAUAUUUGCAAAACAAUUAGAGCACACACUAAUUAGAAGGUAUUUUUAGUACUAACUUUCAUUGGAUAGUAAAAAUGAAGUAAUAAGGGUUUGAAAGAAAGAAUUAGCAAAUCUGCGUCAAUUUUGCAGUAAUUAAAAGAUCACAGAACAAAUGGGAGACUGAUUACGAGGCCAUUCAGAUUUUUUUUAUAGAAAAAAUGGGUAUGAAGUUCCUGAACUUUUGUUUUGGAAUAUCAGUGGCUCGUAUGCCACACUGGUGAUAGCAAAACAAACUGGAGUAGCUAUGCUUAGUGGAUUUUCGAAGAAUGUAUUCACUAUGUUUGGAUCAUGAUGGGGAAAUCAAUCUUAAGAUUGCAAUGGAACGUGCACUUUCUGGUAAAGAGUAUGCACGCUCUGUUAAGGGGUCAAGGAAUUUGUGAAAAUUAGGAGAAAAACCACGAUCAAACAUGGCAUCCGAAUUGUCCAAAACCUACAUGAAAAUGGACAAGCAUAUAGCAAGUUUUUUUAACAAAUACAGUCAAGUUGCUGCAGUAAGCUCAAUUAGUGUAGCUCAAGUAGGGUGCCAGAAGAAGUGUUUUUCAUACAAGCUGGUAUUUCAUUCAUUUUGUGGCAUGAGAUAAUCCAGACCUUGAGUGGGAUUCAAUGUGACUUUAGAUAACAUUUCUUUAGAUUUGUAUAAAAUGCAGCUAAAGUCUUCAAAGUUUUGUGACAUUGUAGAAGUGUAAAUAAUAAUUAAAAAGAUCAUGGCUUGCACAUAUAUGAAUAUAAAAAGAGUAAUCGAUCCAGUACCAAAGAUUGCAGCAGCCCAGAAAGUAAAAAAUCAAUAUAUUACCAAAAGCAUCUCCCUGUAUUGCUGAACUUUUUGCAUUUUAAGCUCUAAUCAGGACACCAAAGGACUGACUUUAAUGUUUGUAAGAUUGUAACAGAACCUUAAUGCGUACCUUUUAAUCCUUUUGAUCGAUGAUUAUCAUAUCAAUGCUCAUGAAGUUGUUGUACUUUGUGUUGACAGACUCCAUGCGACAGAGGAACCUGACCAACCAGUUUUCCAUAUGGUAAUCCAUGUCAGAAAGGUGAAUGCCAUAGUGGCACCAGUUGGUGCCCAAAUACAAAAAUCAAUAUAAUUGACAUUGAAAUAAACUUAAUAUAACAUAAAUAAUAGUAUAAAAUAUCUACAACUUUAUUAAUAAUCGUCUUUACUGUCUCUUAUAAAUAAUAAUAAUGGCCUGUGAAAUACACUUUAUAAUGACUUAGUGGAAUGGAUAGAAUUCAACACCAUUAACAAAUAUAUCAAUAGCCUGGAUGCCUCGUUGAAGAAACUCUCAUUCCUUGUUUCCUUCUUGAUAGAACAGUAGGCCUCCCAGAAGUGAGACCCCUAUUAACACAUAUAUCCUGCUAUUUAUCUAAAGAAUGUUCCGAUCAAUAUCUGUCCUAGACCUUUUUCUAUUUAUACAUUUUCCUACAUUUUAUAUUACUCUAUUUCCUGCUUGCUUAUAUACUCAUUGUGAGUUCCUCAAAUACAGCAGAAAACCUAACAAAUGCAUUACCUCACACCAACACAGAGAAUAUAAGUGCUAUAAUGUCAUGACACCAGGACCGGUCAAGGAAUUGAUUAAAUAUGCGAGGAGACAGAACAAGGACAGGAAGGACAUUUCAUCUAAGGAAGUCAACAACUCAGGUCAAGGGGUAAAACAGUAAAGUGUAGCUGCAAUCACACAAAAGGGGGGCGAGGGUUGUUGGGAAGGGGAUCUGAAUAUUGUGUCAUCUUGUUAUUUUACUUGUUUUCUCUGGAGAGAUCUGGGCCUCUCGAAAGCUCAGCGUAUCAUUUCUUUUGUAAUCAGACGCUUGAAGUUGUUAUUACGUUAAUUGCAUAGUCAGUUCAUUACAAAGUGGUAUCAGAGCCCUCGAUCUGAUGGGGCCUCCGACGGUAGCGCAACGAAUUGAUCAACUCGAGGAGAAGGCGACUGAGAUGGAGGAAACAAUGGCUGAGAUGGUAACGAAGGCGGUGGAGCGUGCGAUGGACGCGAUGCGUCACUCGCUCACGGAACUCAUCCUCGAGAAUCAGGCAAAAGCAGAUCUGCGGAUGGGGACCGAGUUUGAAGCGAUCUCGGGGCGCCUUGAAGGGCGGAUCAGUCGGAGUAGAGAGUAUCAGGAGCAGCUCAUUAACACUAUGAGAAAUGACCAGCUGAAGUUUCAAACGGAGAUCAAGUCGUCUCUCUCUGGGCUCCUCAUUCACCCACUAACCGGUGGGGAUAAGGCGGAGGGUAGUGUCAACCGGCCACCAGUUGUGACACAAGGGUUUCCAGCCUCACCAGGUAUGCACCCUCACCUCUCAGCUGAUACACAUCACUUGGAGCGCGGAAAGGAUGAUGGGGUACAGGGGUUUGGGAUGGGUUUGGGUGUGAACGGUGCUGGUGGUUGGGGACGAGGGCAGGGCGGUGGUUAUGUGGCUGGAGGGUCUGGAGGUGGGCCUGGCCACUGGCGUUAUCGUAAACUUGAUAUGCCUAUAUUUGAUGGGGAGGAUCCGGAUGGGUGGAUCUUGCGUGUGGAGCGCUAUUUCAACUUUUAUCGUAUGACGGAGGAUGAAAUGUUGGAGGCAGUUGCUGUGGCCUUGGAUGGUGAGGCGUUGCGUUGGUAUCAAUGGGAAAAUAAAAGACAUCCGAUUCGCCGUUGGAGUGAUCUUAAGGGGUUUAUAUUGCGGCAGUUUCGUUCUAUUAGUGGUGGCUCCCUCUAUGAGCAAUGGCUCUCUACAACUCAGACUACCACGGUGCAAGAAUAUCGACGCAAGUUUAUUGAGACAGUGGCUCCCUUGGAUCGAGUUUCGGAAGAUAUUCUGCUCGGGCAAUUCAUAAACGGGCUUAAGGAGGAGAUUCGAGCAGAAGUGAGGUUGCUAAGCCCAGUAACUCUGGAACAAGCUAUGGAAAUCGCGAUAAGGGUGGAGGAGAAGCACAGGGUAACAAAUGGAAAGAAACUGGGUUGGAGUUCUUUCAAAUCAGGGUCGUUGUCCUCGUACACUAAGGGUUCCACAGCAGUAGCUCCGUACACCUUGGGGCCCUCUCCCAUGUCUCCUUCCAAUCGUAGUGUAGCUUCCACUGGCUCGGAAUCUCACGGCUCUGUCCAGUCCCCAAACUCGGUGUCUCACCUGGCCAGGACAGUGGGGGAAGUGCGGAGAUUAACAGACAAGGAGUUGCAGGACAAAAGAGCUAAGGGACUAUGCUAUAGAUGUGAUGAAAAAUGGGCCACAGGCCACAGAUGCAAGAAAAAGGAACUAAGUGUCCUUCUUACAGAAGAUGAUGAUGAAGAGAGUGAAGGGGCUGACAGUGAGCAAUUGCUACCACCGACUGAGGAAAUCAGUGGGGAAGUUUCUCUCAACUCGGUUAUUGGUUUAUCGAACCCAAAAACCAUGAAAUUGCGUGGGCUGAUUGGGCACAGUGAGGUAGUGGUCAUGAUAGAUCCAGGGGCCACUCACAAUUUCUUGUCACUAAGUUUAAUUCAAGCUGAGGGGCUGGCUGUCACACCUUCGGGCAGUUUUGGCGUUUCGCUUGGUAAUGGGGAGGCAGUUCGUGGCGAAGGCGUGUGCAAAUCUGUUUGCCUACAGUUGGAUGGAGGCAUGGANUGGGCUUAAGGAGGAGAUUCGAGCAGAAGUGAGGUUGCUAAGCCCAGUAAAUCUGGAACAAGCUAUGGAAAUCGCGAUAAGGGUGGAGGAGAAGCACAGGGUAACAAAUGGAAAGAAACUGGGUUGGAGUUCUUUCAAAUCAGGGUCGUUGUCCUCGUACACUAAGGGUUCCACAGCAGUAGCUCCGUACACCUUGGGGCCCUCUCCCAUGUCUCCUUCCAAUCGUAGUGUAGCUUCCACUGGCUCGGAAUCUCACGGCUCUGUCCAGUCCCCAAACUCGGUGUCUCACCUGGCCAGGACAGUGGGGGAAGUGCGGAGAUUAACAGACAAGGAGUUACAGGACAAAAGAGCUAAGGGACUAUGCUAUAGAUGUGAUGAAAAAUGGGCCACAGGCCACAGAUGCAAGAAAAAGGAACUAAGUGUCCUUCUUACAGAAGAUGAUGAUGAAGAGAGUGAAGGGGCUGACAGUGAGCAAUUGCUACCACCGACUGAGGAAAUCAGUGGGGAAGUUUCUCUCAACUCGGUUAUUGGUUUAUCGAACCCAAAAACCAUGAAAUUGCGUGGGCUGAUUGGGCACAGUGAGGUAGUGGUCAUGAUAGAUCCAGGGGCCACUCACAAUUUCUUGUCACUAAGUUUAAUUCAAGCUGAGGGGCUGGCUGUCACACCUUCGGGCAGUUUUGGCGUUUCGCUUGGUAAUGGGGAGGCAGUUCGUGGCGAAGGCGUGUGCAAAUCUGUUUGCCUACAGUUGGAUGGAGGCAUGGAAAUCAUUGAGGACUUCUUACCAUUGGGGUUGGGGAGUUCAGAUGUAAUAUUAGGGGUGCAAUGGUUAGAGAAAUUGGGAGUGGUAAUGACCAAUUGGAAGACUCAUGUAAUGAAAUUCGAAGUGGAAGGUGAACUUAUUACUCUAAAGGGGGAUCCUACCUUGGUUAAAUCUAGAGUGUCACUGAAGUCCAUGCUCAGAAUGCUUAAAAAGAAAGAGAUGGGGUACUGGGUCGAGUGCAGUAGCUUGGAAUCCAGCCGGGCACAAGACACGCAGCUACUGGCCAACACCACCAUUCCAGCCUUCCUCGCCACAACAAUUUCGCAGCACACACAGGUUUUUGCUGAACCCACAGGCCUACCCCCAGUUCGAAAUCACGAACAUGCGAUCUGCCUGAAACAAGGAAGUAACCCAGUAGGGGUCCGUCCCUAUCGUUACCCUCAGUCUCAGAAAGAUGAGAUUGAACGCUUGAUCACGGAGAUGUUAGCAGCUGGGAUUAUCAAGCCCUCAACAAGUCCGUUUUCGAGCCCAGUCCUCCUUGUCAAGAAGAAAGACGGAUCUUGGCGUUUUUGCGUGGACUACAGGGCUCUUAACAAGGAGACAGUGGCUGAUAAAUUUCCUAUUCCGGUGAUAGAUGAAUUGUUAGACGAACUUCAUGGUGCUCGAAUUUUUUCAAAGUUAGACCUUAAGUCAGGCUACCAUCAAAUCUUGGUCAAACCCGAGGACACCCACAAGACUGCUUUUCGCACACACGACGGGCACUAUGAAUUCUUGGUGAUGCCGUUUGGGUUGAUGAAUGCCCCGGCGACGUUCCAGUCACUAAUGAAUGAUGUAUUCAGGCCGUGCUUAAGGAGGUUUGUUUUGGUGUUUUUUGACGACAUUUUGGUGUAUAGUAAGACGGAGUUGGAGCACACUGAACACAUGCAGGUGGCACUCGGUUUACUGGCUGAACACUCCUUAUUUGCGAAUUUGAAGAAGUGUGAAUUCGGCAAAUCGAAGGUGGGUUACUUGGGUCAUGUCAUAUCAGCCCAAGGAGUUGGUGUCGAUCAAGACAAAGUGCAAGCAGUAGUGGAAUGGCCUGUACCCCAGAAUUUACGUGACUUGCGAGGCUUCUUGGGAUUAACUGGUUAUUACCGAAAGUUUGUGGCGAAGUAUGCUCAGAUAGCGCAGCCACUUACAGACCAGUUGCGCAAAGACAAUUUCGGUUGGUCUGAGGCGGCGGAUACGGCUUUCUCGACUCUCAAAGCUGCUAUGGUUUCAGCGCCAGUAAUGGUUUUACCUGAUUUUAAACAAACAUUUGUGCUAGAAUCUGAUGCGAGUGGAUAUGGCAUUGGGGCAGUAUUGAUGCAACAGGGGCGCCCAAUCGCAUAUUUUAGUAAGCUGUUGGGAAGUCGAGCACAGCAGAAAUCAAUUUACGAAAAAGAACUAAUUGCAAUCUGUUUAGCAGUUCAGAAAUGGCGUCAUUACCUUAUGGGGCGGCAUUUUGUUAUUCGGACAGACCAACAAAGCCUCCGGUUCAUUACUCAACAACGAGAAGUUAAUGCUGAUUACCAGAAAUGGGUGACAAAACUUCUGGGGUUUGAUUUCGAAGUGCAGUAUAAGCCAGGUGCGUCCAAUCGAGUCGCGGAUGCUCUCUCCCGUAAGCAAGUGGGUGAAGUUACAUUACAGAAUCUGGUCUGCAAUACUCUGCUAACUACACAUGGGGUACAGUGGACGAAGCUGGAUCAAGAAGUCCAGGAGGACCCAGAGUUACGACUCAUUAUUGAGGAACUGCACAAGGGGACGAAUGAACAAGCGGGGUUUCACUUAGUUGACAACCGUCUCAUGUACAAGCAGAGAUUCGUGUUACCACGACAGUCGGCUUAUACAACCACUCUUCUCAAAGAAUACCAUGAUUCUGUCAUUGGGGGCCAUGCGGGUGAAUUGAAGACGUAUUUGCGAAUGGCCCAAGAAUGGUUCUGGAAAGGCAUGCGCCGGGAUGUCUCCACAUAUGUUAAACAGUGUAGUAUCUGUCAACAGCAGAAAAAUUUGCAGAAAUCGCCAGCAGGGUUACUGCAGCCAUUAUCCAUUCCCAUGUUGGUCUGGGAAGACAUCAGCCUUGAUUUUGUGGAAGGGCUUCCACUCUCAAAAGGGGUUAACACCAUUCUGGUUGUAGUUGAUCGAUUAUCUAAGUAUGCCCAUUUCAUUGGGCUUCGUCACCCGUUUGAUGCAUACACAGUUGCUUCGGUUUUUGUGAAAGAGAUAGUUCGUCUUCACGGAUUCCCCGGGUCAAUUGUUUCUGACCGUGACAGAAUUUUCCUCAGCACCUUUUGGAAGGAAUUAUUUAAACUUCAGGGUACAGAUUUGAAACGCAGCACCUCCUACCACCCGCAGACGGAUGGACAAACUGAAAUAGUUAACAAGGGUCUGGAAACGUAUUUGCGCUGUUUUGUUGGGGACAAGCCAAGGACUUGGGCACAGUGGCUGUCAUGGGCGGAAUAUUCUUAUAACACUUCUCCGCAUUGUUCCACCAAACUGAGCCCUUUCAAGGUAUUAUAUGGACGAGACCCCCCUCAUCUGAUGCGUGUGGGAAGAGGACAAACUUUUGUGGAUAGCUUAGACGAAUUGUUACAGGAGAGAGACGCCAUGUUGGCUGAACUCCAUUACAAUCUGAUGAAAGCUCAACAGGUGAUGAAACGAGCUGCUGAUGCUAAGAGAAGAGAUGAGGAAUUUGCUGUGGGGGAUUCCGUUUACUUGAAAUUGCAACCCUACAGGCAACGAUCACUUGCUAGACGGCCUUUUGAAAAACUGUCCCCUCGAUUUUAUGGUCCCUUUACAGUCCUGCAGCGCAUUGGUAAGGUUGCGUAUAAGUUGGAUCUACCUCAGGACAGUCGCAUACAUUCAGUGUUUCACGUAUCUCAACUUAAGAAAUCUGUGGGCUUGGCUCAAGUAUCCCCAACCUUACCCCCACAGCUGAAUGCUGAAAUGGAGUUAGUGGUGGAGCCAGAGGAGGUGUUAGAGGUCCGUCAAGUGCAAGUGGGACAGAAUUCACAGUUGGAGGCACUGAUCAAAUGGAAGACCUUACCGGCUUAUGAAGCAACUUGGGAGGAAGUAGCUUUAGUUGCACAUCAGUUCCCUCACUUCCACCUUGAGGACAAGGUGAAUCUUUGGGCCGGGGGUAAUGUCAUGACACCAGGACCGGUCAAGGAAUUGAUUAAAUAUGCGAGGAGACAGAACAAGGACAGGAAGGACAUUUCAUCUAAGGAAGUCAACAACUCAGGUCAAGGGGUAAAACAGUAAAGUGUAGCUGCAAUCACACAAAAGGGGGGCGAGGGUUGUUGGGAAGGGGAUCUGAAUAUUGUGUCAUCUUGUUAUUUUACUUGUUUUCUCUGGAGAGAUCUGGGCCUCUCGAAAGCUCAGCGUAUCAUUUCUUUUGUAAUCAGACGCUUGAAGUUGUUAUUACGUUAAUUGCAUAGUCAGUUCAUUACAUAUAACACCACCGGAAGACUCUAUUAUCUGUCAACUCAGACAAAAAAAGCAUGAGCCAUAAAACUGGAUACUGACGGAUAGUUGGAUUCCCAUCUUACACCCAUAAUAACUUGCAAUUCCACAGCUCAAAAAUACAAAAAGAAGUUCUAUAGACAACAACAACAACAACAACAACAACAACAAGCAGCACUCUAAGUCAAGAAUAUCAGGGAGUAAAUUAAGCAAUACAAAUGAGAAAUAUUACAAUUAAGUAAGAUAUAAAAAAAUUAUAUGAACUACUCAGCAACUGUGUUUGUGCGUGUUGAUUAGUGUACCUUCAGAAGAUGGAUAAAAUGAAGCUCAAAUACGCUCGGCUCGCCGACAGGAAAAUGGGAGAUAGGGCAGAUGAACCCUUCCUGUAUAUCAGAUGACUUCAUGUUUUGUAACAGUCGGUGGCAUUUUGGAUAUUCCGGAUUUGACAAGGGCAUAUC